CUACUGGUAGGUUUUUGGUUUAACACUUUAAAAAAAACAAAAACGUUUUUUCAUCCACCAAAUGCUGACUAAUAAAAUUAUCUUACUACUCCUAGACUGGAACCUAUUAUUGGGCAGCCUUGCCGAAGUCCCAUAUUAGACACUGCUUGAGUCAAAUAGAUUGUACACUCCUUUCAAUCCUGAAAACUUCCGAAUGAUAGACUCAGCAUUUGUCAGCCAGGCCCAAGGUGAUAGUAAAAGGAAAUUAAAGAAAAUUAGAGGGAUUUGUAGGGAUGUCCAUAAUACAGCUAAUGGAGAUUGCAAAUACAGUAUAUAUGAAUAGGGAGAUGGAGGAAGAACAUAAAAUGAGGAAAAAGGCAGAUAUGCUAGCGGUAGCUAUCUUAAGUGUAGAAAGACAGGGAAGUGAAUAGAGGAG